rnacentral:tRNA from 1 species
GAGCUACCGUGGCCGUAAGGUUACCGGUUUCGCCUUGUAAGCGGAAGGUGACGGGUUCAAUUCCUGUCUGGCUCA